rnacentral:lncRNA from 1 species
UAAACCGAAUGUGUUCUUUGCCUCCCAUCCAUUUUAGGUGUUCUCUUCAGUACUGUUAAAUACAUUCACAUUGUGAAGCCAAUUUCCAGAAUUGUUUUCAUCUUGCAACACUGAAAUCUGUCUCGUUGCACAACUCCCCGUGCACCUCUUCCCUCAGGGUCUUUUGCAACCUCCAUUCCAUUGUCUGAGUUCGUGAAUUUGACUGUGGGAAUCUCAUGUAAAUGGCAUCAUAAAGUAUUUGUCCUUUUCUGACGUGCUUAUUUCACUUAGCAUAAUGUCCUCGAGCUUCACCUUGUAGUAAGUGUUAGGAUUUAUUUCUUCUUUUUUUUUUUUUUUUUUAGACGGNNNNNNNNNNGAGACGGAGUCUCGCUCUGUCGCCCAGGCUGUAGUGCCGUGGCGCAUCUCGGCUCACUGCAAGCUCCGCCUCCCGGGUUGACGCCAUUCUCCUGCCUCAGCCUCACGAGUAGCUGGGACUACAGGCGCCCACCACCACGCCCGGCUAAUUUUUUGUAUUUUUUUAGUAGAGACGGGGUUUCACUGUGUUAGCCAGGAUGGUCUCGAUCUCCUGACCUCGUGAUCCGCCCGCCUCGGCCUCCCAAAGCGUUGGGAUUACAGGCGUGAGCCACCGCGCCCGGCCUCUUCUUCUUCUUUUUUUUUUUUUUAAGAGACAGGGUUUUGCUCUGUAGCCCAGGCUGAAGUGCAGUGGUGUGAUCAUUGCUCACUGCAGUCUUCAACUCCUGGAUUCAAGCAAGCCUCCAACCUGAGCCUCCUAAGUAUCUGGGACUACAGGCACGCACUACCAGGCCUGGCUAAUUGUUACUCUAAGAACUAGGCCCUACUGGCCAGGCCCCCUCUGACCAGGUUUCUGCUGACAAGAACCUGCUGAAAGGUGUUCGCUGAGUAGGUCAGUCCUAACCUGAUCAUGUUUCCACUGACCAGGCCCAAAAGG